AUCGCAGGCUGCAACUCGCCUGCGUGAAGUCGGAAUUGCUAGUAAUCGCGGAUCAGCAUGCCGCGGUGAAUACGUUCCCGGGCCUUGUACACACCGCCCGUCACACCAUGAGAGCUGGGAACACCCGAAGCCCGUAGCCUAACCUGCAAAGGAGGGCGCGGUCGAAGGUGGGCUUAGUAAUUGGGGUGAAGUCGUAACAAGGUACC
rnacentral:rRNA from 1 species